GUAUUACACAAUCCUUUUACUUGGAGAAUUCGUCUUCUUUCGCAGCGCCGUAAGGAACUUCGAGGUUCAAGUGCGUACCUGGUCCUGUGGCAAUAAAGGAGCUACCUGUCACUGUGCAGUCGCUGUCCGUGAGGGGAAUGACGUCGUAAUAGUCGACCUUUGCCACGUGGGUUGGGGUAACCAUCAAUCAGCCUACCCCAAGAUUACAGAAAAGACACCUGAUGGGGGCCCUCUUUCUCCUGCAGUAACAGUAUACAGGGAUCCUUCAAAUAAGAGAUUCUCGAUCCACAUGCCAUCUGCCAGCACAGUAGUAGCAGCGAUAAACAAAUGGGGUAUUGAUGUCCACGCGUAUGUACCUACAGGAGAUCGAGGACAUACCGUAGGGUUAUGUGGAACUUGGGAUGGAAACGGAGGGAAUGAUUAUAAUAUGUCUAGCGGAUCUCUUACAACUAACACGGACGAGUUUGGCAACAG